AUUGAACGCUGGCGGCAGGCCUAACACAUGCAAGUCGAGCGGAGCGGCGGACGGGUGAGUAAUGACUAGGAAUCUGCCUGGUAGUGGGGGAUAACGUCCGGAAAGGGGCGCUAAUCCCGCAUACUAUCAGAUGAGUCUAGGUCGGAUUAGCUAGUUGGUGGGGUAAAGGCCUACCAAGGCGACGAUCCGUAGCUGGUCUGAGAGGAGGAUCAGUCACACUGGAAGUGAGACACGGACCAGACUCCUACGGGAGGCAGCAGUGGGGAAUGUUGGACAAUGGGCGAAAGCCUGAGCCAGCCAUGCCGCGUGUGUGAAGAAGGUCUUCGGAUGGGAAAGCACUUUAAGGUGGGAGGCGGUACCAACAGAAUAAGCACCGGCUAACUACGUGCCAGCAGCCGCGGUAAUUC
rnacentral:rRNA from 1 species